rnacentral:misc_RNA from 1 species
GAAAUGCGAUAAGUAAUGUGAAUUGCAGAAUUCAGUGAAUCAUCGAAUCUUUGAACGCACAUUGCGCCCGCCAGUAUUCUGGCGGGCAUGCCUGUUCGAGCGUCAUUUCAACCAUCAAGCCCCCGGCUUGUGUUGGGGACCUGCGGCUGCCCGCAGGCCCUGAAAAACAGUGGCGGGCUCGCUGUCACACCGAGCGUAGUAGCAUACAUUCUCGCUCAGGGCGUGCUGCGGGUUCCGGCCGUUUAACGACCUUCAUAACCCAAGGUUGACCUCGGAUCAGGUAGGAAGACCCGCUGAACUUAAGC